rnacentral:rRNA from 1 species
UUUAUUGAGAGUUUGAUCCUGGCUCAGGACGAACGCUGGCGGCGUGCUUAACACAUGCAAGUCGAGCGAUGAAGCUCCUUCGGGAGUGGAUUAGCGGCGGACGGGUGAGUAACAC